rnacentral:tRNA from 1 species
GCGGAUAUAGCUCAGUGGUAGAGCAUUUGACUGCAAAUUGAGAGGUCCCAGGUUUGAAAGUGGGUGUCCCUU